CAGAAUAAACUUGGCAAAUUUUACUUGUCUGGGUGCCAAGAAACUAGAGAACAAUUUCAAGCAAAACAUGUAUGUUCCAUGAAAAAUCUAAUUUUUAUUUCAACACACAAUUAAAGAUCAUACAUAGACUUAGUUACAGAUAUUAGUGAUCAAGUUAUUUGGUAACAAUUCCUCUUGUUGAACAUAGUAUAGUUGCUUCUUGACAUCUGGAAUAUUUCACAGAAUAAGAUUAAUAAUAUCAAGAUUACAGAAAGGAGACUUAAAAUUUUUAAGUAAAAUAUAAAACUCAAAUGUAUUAAAAAAUUGAGUUGUCCUCUUCAAGAAAUUCCAUAAUCAGUAAUAUGCUCUUCUCUUGUUUCUACCUUUGCUCUAAAAAUGCAAUUUUGUACUUUAACUAUUUGGAGAACUUUAAAAAUACUUACAUUUUAAAGUAGUACUUAAUUUACAAAUUAUGCCUAAAUAUAAAACCCUCUGAGCACACAAAGAAUUGUCUUCAGUGGAAAAAAAGCAGCUUUCCAAUGUCCUUGCUAUCACUGUUAUAUUCCAGAUUUUUUAAAUAAGUAAUACCUGCAUGCCAUUUCAAUAAACUAAUUUUCAGAACCUGUAUGAAAUAUAUUUAAGAUCCCAUGGACCAAACAUUUAAAGGCUCUUUAGCCAAGCAAAACAAGAGGCAUGGUAUUGAGGAAAACAAUGACCUAUUACAGAAAUGGUCUGAAAAUAACUAAUAAUGGUUAUCUUUGGGUGCUAAUAUUAUGGUUAAUUCAUUUUAUUUAGCUACACUUCUUAAAAUGUUCAAUAAUAAACAUGAUAGAUUUGAUAACAGAAAUACAUUAUUUUUUAA
rnacentral:lncRNA from 1 species